AGUGUUCACAUUUCCUUCCUUUCUACAGCAAAAUUUAGUCUCGGAAGCAGCCAUGAAUCGAGCAAGGAUAAUCCUUGCAUCCCUUAGACUCUCCAAUUCCCUCCUCUUGUCGCGGCUUUUCACAACUCGGCCGCUUUUAACUCAGGUGACUAACUUUUCUCCCCUUACCUCCUAUUUUCUCAUGGAGCAGUCCCAUUCUUUUUGUUAUUUCAAUAGCCAUCAAAAGGUUUACUUCUCGUCAAAACCAAGCUCCCUUAUGGAACUCUUGUUGGCCAAUGAUUGGUCAACUGAGUUGGAGGGCGAGUUACAAAACUCCAACCCCACAUUGACCCAUGAAACAGUUAUUUAUGCUUUGAAGAAGCUAGAUAAAAACCCUGAUAAGGCGUGGGGUUUCUUUAAUUGGGCGUGUGAGAGAAACGGAUUUAAACCCAGUUCGCCGUUGUAUAGCAUAAUGCUUCGAAUAUUGGUGAACAAGGAUUCUAUGAAGAAUUUUUGGAUUACGUUAAGGAAAAUGAAAGAACAAGGGUUUUAUAUUGAUGAGGAAACAUAUUUAACAAUUUCAGCAAGGUUUAAGAAGGAGAAGAUGCGAAGCGAUGUGGUGGCUUUUAAACAUUUUUUUGAUAGGAUGGUUAACGAGAAUGCUAUGGAUAGUGUAGUGAAAAAUGUGGCUACUGUUAUUUCUGAGAAGGAUUGGAGCAAUGAGGUUGAGGAAGAAUUGGGGGGGAUGGGAAUCUUGUUAACAGAUAAUUUUGUGAUUGGGGUACUGAAGGAGCUUAGGAAUUAUCCUCUGAAAGCUUUGCAAUUUUUUCAUUGGGUUGGUAAGUCUGAAGGUUAUGAUAACAACAGUGUUACAUAUAAUGCAAUUAUCAGAGUCCUUGGUAGGCAUGACUCAAUGGGGGAGUUUUGGAGUGUUCUUGAAGAGAUGAAGAAUGCUGGUCAUGAAAUGGAUAUUGUCACUUACAUAAAGAUUUCAAGACAGUUUCAGAAAAACAAGUUGAUGGGGGAUGCAGUGAAGCUUUAUGAAUUUAUGAUGGAUGGCCCAUUUAAGCCCUCAGUUCAAGAUUGCAGUAUUCUUUUGCAGAGCAUCUCAGCAAGCGACAACCCCGAUUUGGAUUUGGUUUCUAGAGUUGCAAACAAAUUUGCAGCAACGGGGAAUUCCCUUUCUAAGGCUGUUUAUGAUGGCAUACAUAGAUCCUUGACAAGUGCAGGGGAGUUUGAUGAAGCAGCAAAAAUUAUGAAGGUUAUGAAAGAUGCAGGAUACGAGCCUGACAACAUCACAUACAGUCAAUUGGUCUUUGGACUCUGCAAGGCAAGAAGAUUGGAAGAGGCAUGUGAGGUUCUUGAUGAAAUGGAAGCACAUGGAUGUAUUCCAGAUACUAAGACUUGGACUAUUUUGAUUCAAGGGCAUUGUUCUGCUGCUGAAAUUGACAAGGCAUUUAUGUGUUUUGCAAAGAUGAUGGAGAAAAACUGUAAUGCUGAUGCUGAUUUGUUGGAUGUGCUAAUAAAUGCUUUUCUCAGUCAAAAGAGGAUAGAUGGUGCUUACACAUUACUUGUAGAGAUGGUAAACAAGGCUUCUUUAAGACCUUGGCAAGCAACGUACAAACUUCUUAUUGAAAAGCUUCUAGAAGAGAGGAAACUUGAAGAAGCACUGAACCUUCUUCGUUUAAUGAAGCAACACAACCACCCUCCUUUUCCUGAGCCAUUUGUUCUGUAUAUCUCCAAGUUUGGGACUGUGGCGGAUGUUGCAGAUUUCUUCAAGGCAUUGAGUGUAAAGGAAAAUCCAUCAACUUCAGCUUACCUUCAUGUCUUUCAAUCAUUCUUCAAGGAAGGUAGACAUUCUGAGGCCAAAGAUCUGCUAUACAAGUGUCCUCAUCGUAUUCGCAAACAUCCUAAGAUUUGUGAACUUUUUGGUUCUGCAAAAAGCGUAGAAACCACUGCUUGAACAUAAUUUUCUAUUAUUUUCUUUUACUUGAAGGAUUGGUUCAUUUUCCAAUCUUCUCUUGUACCAAGUUGGCCAAGUGCUAUCCUAGAAAUUAGUUAACUUCUAUGUAUCAGGAAUUUCUAUUGGAAAUUUGCUUUCACGUAUGCAUCUAGCAUCGGCCAAAUCUGCCUGGCAUAAUUCCGGUUUCAUUUUUUUAAGUUCAAGGUGUUGAAAGCAAUUAUAUGGCUGUGUUGUAACCACAGGCAGUCAUUAAUGUUUCAAAUACAUGCAGUUGAGAGCUGAGCACAAGCCUCCUAUUGAGGGAUUCCGUUCUUUUCUCAUUUCAUAACAAUUGUUGUUAUGGGUAUGCCAAGUUUUUGUAUAUUGGCUUGUGUAGGUUCAGGUAAAAACUGAAAAUUGCUUACUAGUCGUUCUCUUUUUGUCAUUCUGUAAUCACAAUCCUGUAUUUUUGUUUCACAGUGAAUCAAUAUAAAAUGCUAAUUGCAAUUUUCG
rnacentral:misc_RNA from 1 species